rnacentral:rRNA from 1 species
GCAUAUCAAUAAGCGGAGGAAAAGAAACCAACAGGGAUUGCCCCAGUAACGGCGAGUGAAGCGGCAACAGCUCAAAUUUGAAAUCUGGCCUUCGGGUCCGAGUUGUAAUUUGGAGAGGAUGCUUCUGGCGCGGCGCCGUCCGAGUUCCUUGGAACAGGACGCCAUAGAGGGUGAGAGCCCCGUACGGGCGGACGCCUAGCCUUUGUGAAGCUCCUUCGACGAGUCGAGUAGUUUGGGAAUGCUGCUCAAAAUGGGAGGUAAAUUUCUUCUAAAGCUAAAUACCGGCCAGAGACCGAUAGCGCACAAGUAGAGUGAUCGAAAGAUGAAAAGCACUUUGAAAAGAGGGUUAAAAAGUACGUGAAAUUGUUGAAAGGGAAGCGCCUGUGACCAGACUUGCUGCCCACGGAUCAUCCGGCGUUCCUCGCCGGUGCACUCCGCGGGCGGCAGGCCAGCAUCGGUUCUCCUAGGGGGUUAAAGGUCGCGGGAACGUGGCUCCUUCGGGAGUGUUAUAGCCCGCGGCGUCAUGCCUCUGGGGGGACCGAGGACCGCGCUUCGGCAAGGAUGCUGGCGUAAUGGUCACCGGCGACCCGUCUUGAAACACGGACCAAGGAGUCAAGCAUUGGGGCGAGUGUCUGGGUGCCAAACCCGCACGCGAAAUGAAAGUAAACGCAGGUGAGAGCUUCGGCGCAUCACCGACCGAUCCUGAUGUCUUCGGAUGGAUUUGAGUAAGAGCCUUACCGCUUGGACCCGAAAGAUGGUGAACUAUGCCUGUAUAGGGUGAAGCCAGAGGAAACUCUGGUGGAGGCUCGCAGCGGUUCUGACGUGCAAAUCGAUCGUCAAAUAUGGGCAUGGGGGCGAAAGACUAAUCGAACCAUCUAGUAGCUGGUUACCGCCGA